UUUGGACCUUUCAGAUUCAGGUCAACUUCAGGCAUAGAGAUCUUCGGUGCCUUGAGGUGCAGGUCAGGCAUUUUAAAUUUGGGGCCCUUCAGUUUCCCUUCUGGACCAUGAAUAUCAAUAUCAGGAGUGUCAAUGUCCACUUUGGGUCCUGAGACAUCAAUGUCAGCCUUGGGCAGGUUCACAUCCACAUCUGGGCCCUCUCCUUUGAAGCCAGGCAUGCUGAACUUGGGCAUUUUCACCUUGGGCAUCUUCAGGGCCCUCUGCUUUGAAGCCAGGCAUGCUGAACUUGGGCAUUUUCAUCUUGGGCAUCUUCAGGUGCCAGUCUGGGCCUUGAACCUCCACAUCUGGGGCAUCAAUGUCCAUUUUGGGUCCUUUGAUUUCAACAUCUGGCACUUUCAUUUCACCUUCUACCUUGGGCACAGACACAUCUGGGGCAUCAAUGUCCA
rnacentral:lncRNA from 1 species